rnacentral:rRNA from 1 species
UCCGUGAAUCCGGAUUUGGGACAGUGAUAGGUGGGCAGUUUGACUGGGGCGGUCUCCUCCCAAAGAGUAACGGAGGAGUCCAAAGGCUUCCUCAGUGCGCUUGGCAACCGCACGUAGAGUGUAAGGGCAGAAGGAAGCUUAACUGUGAGACCUAUAAGUCAAGCAGGUGUGAAAGCAGGGCCUAGUGAUCCGGUGGUUGUGUGUGGAAACGCCAUCGCUCAACAGAUAAAAGGUACUCCGGGGAUAACAGGCUGAUCGCCCCCGAGCGUCCAUAGCGGCGGGGCGGUUUGGCACCUCGAUGUCGGCUCAUCGCAUCCUGGGGCUGGAGAAGGUCCCAAGGGUUCUGGAGUUCACAGAUUAAAGCGGUACGCGAGCUGGGUUUAGACCGUCGUGAGACAGGUCGGUCCCUAUCUGCCGUGGGUGGGUGAUAUUUGAGGAGAUCUGUCCUUAGUACGAGAGGACCGGGAUGGACGUACCUCUGGUGUACCAGUUGUCGUGCUAACGGCAUCGCUGGGUAGCUAUGUACGGAAAGGAUAAAUGCUGAAAGCAUAUAAGCAUGAAGCCUACUCCAAAACUAGAUAUCAUUUUCCAUUUAUAUGGAAGGGAGACACCUUGAAGAUUACAAGGUUGAUAGGCCAGAGGUGUAAGUAUAGUAAUAUACUAAGCUGACUGGUACUAAUUAGUCGAAAAGCUUGACUU